rfam:Schistosoma mansoni strain Puerto Rico chromosome 2, complete genome
GUACUGUUGAGGAGUCCUAUAAUGGGACGAAACGGCCGUCCAGUGC